UCUGGAGAUUAUUUCAGAUUUGCAAAGUGGAAAUGGUUCGAAGAGGAGAGUGCAUCUAAGAAAAGAGAUUAUUAGAGAUUUGCCAAGUUGGAAGUUGGAGAGAGUGCAUCAAAGAAAAGAGAUUAUUAGAGAUUUGCCAAGUUGGAAGUUGGAGAGAGUGCAUCAAAGAAAAGAGAUUAUUAGAGAUUUGCCAAGUUGGAAGUUGGAGAGAGUGCAUCAAAGAAAAGGUAUUUUA